CAUGAGACCAGUAAUAAAGUGUCUUGUUGCUAAUACUUGGCUUAUUAAUAAUUAUCACAUUAUAUUUUUUUUGGAUGACAAAUAUAUUUGUGUUUGUCAUUAGAAGUGACGGUAAAAAAAAGUGACUCGCAUAUUUCUCAGUAUAAAUUCGUUAAAGUGUCGCAAAAAAUGGAUUUUAAGCUUUUAAAAAUUUUUCUGUUUGCAUUUGGACUAAUGGCAGCAAUAGUUUUGACAGACAGUAACGUAAUUUAUAAAACGUGUGCUUUACCAAAUAAAAAGUGCAAUGUAAAUAACUACUGUUGCGGGGCUUACAAGUGUAAACCACUCUAUAGAAGCACAGAAACAAGAUGCUCCAAAUAAAUGGCAGUUUAUUUUUUAAGAAACUCAAAAUAUAUGAAACUGUUUGUUAUAAUUUUCGCUGCAAUAAAAAAAAAUUAAAAAGAG